UUCGACAAAACCCCCCACUAAAUUGCGAAUGCUCAGUUUAGGUUGUUCCGUGGUUGUUAAUGGAUCGAUCGUUCGAUGAGCCGAAUUCUACGCAAUUGGUCGUUUGCAACCCGCAACUCUUUGAGGUCAUCGUGGCGCUGUGCACAUCAGGGAAGCAACGGCGCAAGAAACGAAGAAACUUUUCAGUAGUUGUAAGUUUCUUAUGUCAAAUGAGAAGUUACACUGGCAUGAAAUUUUAGGAAGAAAGGAAGUGAAAUGAAUCAGAAACCAUUUAACCAUAAAACUAAAAAGCUUCCCACCAAGUUGUAAGUUCCUUAGGACAAACGAAAAGUUAAACUGGGGUGUUAUUUUAUGAGGAAAGAAAAUGAAAUGAAUCGGACAUGCAAAUACAAAAGGUAUUAGGAUCACUUCACGGAUCACGGAAACCACUCAUCGAGUUUUACUUUCUUCAACCACUCGAACCAAUUGAUUGUAUCAAUCUACUAGUACACCAAAAUAAUUGAGGGAACUCGGGUUCAAACUCUUAGAAUAUUAGUAGCCUAUCCUCAUUUGUAUAUUGACAUAAGGACGAGUUGCUGCUCCACUUGUGGACUUUCAUAAGUAAUAUGUAUUUAGUGUGUAAUUUGUAACGAUGUAAUUUAUUCCUUCAACAGUAUACAAUACGAAAAGAGUUUGAUCCAUCUGAAUCCUGAAAGAGACAACAUGAACAAUAGAGACUGUAAGUUUCCCAAUUUGGGACACUGAUGUCUCUCUCUAAAUUCAGACGGGUCAAACGCUUUUCCUACUGUAUAUCCACUUGUGUACAUGUUCAAUUGUCUCAACUAAGGUUUAUAACCUGCUGCUCUUUGAACAUUGGAGUUGAUGAAUUGACAAUUAUAACAAGUAUCUAAAGGCUCAAUUUAGUUUAAAAUUUGUUGUUAAAAGUUAUCCGUUGCAGUUGUUACGGUUUAUUUAUCUCUUAUGUGUCGGUUGAAUUUAAGAUAUUUUUCAUCCACCUUAUCAAGGAUUCAGGAGGUACUUUUUAACUUCUUCAGAGAUAGAAAAAAAUUCUUUUAUUAUAAGUGUAAAUAUUUGUGUCAGUUGGAUUUAACAUAUUUUCUAUUUAUUUCAACAAGAAAUCAGGAAGUCCAUUUUAAUGUGUGUUUAGUUUAUUGUUGUGUGUAGUAAUUUUACCGCUUUUAUCCUAUUUACUAAGUUUAUCACUGAUUUCGAAAUUUUCUCUU